GUUUGCAGAGCAGAGUCUGCACUUCCUCUGGAGGGACUUCAUCUCUCUGUGUGGGAAGAAGCUGUUCUACAACCCGUUCACCGGCUGCCUGUCCCUGGAGUUCCCAGCAGGGGGCGCUGUGACGCCGGGGGGGAUCCUGGCGGAUGAGAUGGGUUUGGGGAAGACUGUGGAGGUCCUGGCUCUGAUCCUGAUGCACAGCAGGGGGCUCCAGCUGGAGGAGAGCACCCUCCCUCAGGGAAAAACUGUGAAUUACUUCAUCCCUCCUCUUCGUCCUCUUCGUCCUCUGGAGAGGAAGACGAGCAUCACCUGCAAAACUGAGGCUCAGCCCAAACUCAGAAUAUCCU